GGGGGCCACUAGGGCGCAUCGGAAGAUGGCUGACAAUAACAUCUCUCCGACCCACAUGAGGUAAUUUGGAGGCUAUGAUGGGGGUAAUUAGCCUCCUUAACCCCUCCAGGAUUGUGGGGGGGACGGCCCUUGCCUGCUGUGCCCUAUACCACCCCCGAAUUUGUGGGGAUGGGGGCACUAGGCACAAAGCCCUCCUGUGGGAUUCCGGCACUCCUCGAAGCCGUCUCUGAUCCGCGCCACUAGUUUGCAAGAAUCUUCAAAAGAAACAAUUUGGACGAGAUAAAUUGCACAUACUUCAAGGAAAGAGGGGGAGUAAAGACUGCUGACAGAAGAGAUCUCUGAUAAAACAAGACAAGAAUAAGAUAUGAGAAGAUACGUCAAGAUACGGUACGGCAAAUGACUGAGGGGGGAGGGGGGAAAAACUCUCUUUUAUUUCUCUAUGUGAUUAAACAAGAAUCCCCUCCCUAAAGAGUCAGAAAUGUCGUUUUAAGGACUUAAGUUGUGGAUUUAAGGCUGUGUGGAGAUAAAUUUUCGAACCAAAGCAAUGUUCCAAGACGAAGCUGGAAAUUUAAGAGUUUUGGAAUGACGCAGUUAAAAAUGCCGUCGCCAUUUUGGGAGGCACUGUCGGAGCUCUUGAGUCUGGGAGGAGAAGAAACAGAGUUGUUUACAUAUCGUGGACUAACUCCUCGGUGGGAUUUAAGAGUGACAACUGCCUAAUUUAUGAUGGAAAGAGCGAUGUUAUCUACGAAGGAGAUGAUUUAUGGAAACCAUCUGGACUUAGAUUGGAAGAACGGGAAAUUCACACAGGAUUAUUAUAUUUGCUUAUCGGCUUAAGGAGACUAACAGAAGAGAUCGUAAAGGAAAAAGAAAAAUUAUAUGAACAAGAUAUGAUGUGGAAACACCAAGAUAAGAUUGGAUAGAACUAUGAACUCUGUUUGGACUGAUUGGGACUGAUUUGGACAUUAAUGCAGUAAUAAGAAGAUGAUUUGAAUCCCCUUUGGAUCUUGAAGUAUGGGUUCCCCCAACAAAAUUUAAAAAUUUGGCUUUGUAAUUUGGAAUUUAUGUGAUGUGAUUUAAUUUGAUGUGAUUGGCCAGUUAAUAAAAAUUAU